rnacentral:tRNA from 1 species
AAAACCGACAUUAAAAGUUUGAAACUUUUAUUAUCGAUUUUUCGACGGUUUUG